rnacentral:rRNA from 1 species
UAUGUGAUCGUCUCUCGCAUAUCAAUAAGCGGAGGAAAAGAAACUAACAAGGAUUCCCCUAGUAACGGCGAGUGAAGCGGGAAGAGCUCAAAUUUGAAAUCUUAAGGGUUUCCCUUUACGAAUUGUAGUUUAAAGAAGUGUUUUCUGUUGAGGUUUUGGUAAAAGUUCUUUGGAAUAGGACAUCAUAGAGGGUGAGAAUCCCGUAUUUGACCUUUACUUUCAACUUUGUGAUACACUUCCAAAGAGUCGGAUUGUUUGGGAAUGCAGUCCAAAAUGGGUGGUAAAUUUCAUCUAAAGCUAAAUAUUGGCGAGAGACCGAUAGCGAACAAGUACCGUGAGGGAAAGAUGAAAAGAACUUUGAAAAGAGAGUUAAACAGUACGUGAAAUUGUCAAAAGGGAAGCGUUUGACACCAGUGUUGUUUUUCUGAAAAUCAAUUAAAGAACUGUCUAUGCUAAGUUGUUUAGACUUUAUCAGCUAACUGUUUAGUUUUGAGCUUUUCUUUAAUGCACCUUUCAGUUAACAAGUCAACAUCAAUUUCUUUUGCUGUAAAAAAGCUUGAGGAAGGUGGCUUGAGAUUCGUCUUAAGUGUUUAUAGCCUCUUGCCUAUGCAGUCGGAGAGAUUGAGGUCUGCAGCGUAGAUCCUUCGGGGCUAAAUGCAUUUGUGCUAAGUUAUAGCAUUUUAUAGACAACUUGUUGACUAUGAUUUGUCUUGUAGCUUACUCGCUUAUGUUAUUUUACCUACGCUUAGGAUGUUGACACACGCGCGUGCUCG